AGAGUUUUUUCCUGGCUCAGGAUGAACGCUAGCGACAGGCUAAACACAUGCAAGUCGAGGGGCAGCGGGGAGGUAGCAAUACUUCCGCCGGCGACCGGCGCUCGGGUGAGUAACACGUAUGGAACCUGCCCGUAGCAGGGGGAUAAGCGGAAGAAAUUCCGUCUAAUACCGCGUAAUAACUCCGAGAGGCAUCUCUUGGGGUUUAAAGGGUAACACCGGCUACGGAUGGCCACGCGGCGCAUUAGCUAGUUGGCGGGGUAACGGCCCACCAAGGCGACGAUGCGUAGGGGUUCUGAGAGGAAGGUCCCCCACACUGGUACUGAGACACGGACCAGACUCCUACGGGAGGCAGCAGUGAGGAAUAUUGGUCAAUGGGCGCGAGCCUGAACCAGCCAAGUCGCGUGAGGGAAGACGGUCCUAUGGAUUGUAAACCUCUUUUGUCGGGGAGCAAAAGGCGCCACGUGUGGCGUUCCGAGAGUACCCGAAGAAAAAGCAUCGGCUAACUCCGUGCCAGCAGCCGCGGUAAUACGGAGGAUGCGAGCGUUAUCCGGAUUUAUUGGGUUUAAAGGGUGCGCAGGCGGUCUGUUAAGUCAGCGGUCAAAGCCCGGGGCUCAACCCCGGCCCGCCGUUGAAACUGGCAGUCUCGAGUUGGAGAGAAGUAUGCGGAAUGCGCGGUGUAGCGGUGAAAUGCAUAGAUAUCGCGCAGAACUCCGAUUGCGAAGGCAGCAUGCCGGCUCCACACUGACGCUGAGGCACGAAAGCGUGGGUAUCGAACAAGAUUAGAUACUCUGGUAGUCCACGCAGUAAACGACCUAUAUGGCUGUCCGGGGGGAUUUGACCCCUGGGUGGCGAAGCGAAAGCGAUAUGCAUUCCACCUGGGGAGUACGCCGGCAACGGUGAAACUCAAAGGAAUUGACGGGGGCCCGCACAAGCGGAGGAACAUGUGGUUUAAUUCAAUGAUACGCGAGGAACCUUACCCGGGCUCAAACGGGGAGUGACUCAGGCAGAGACGCCUGUUUCCCACGGGACACUCCCCGAGGUGCUGCAUGGUUGUCGUCAGCUCGUGCCGUGAGGUGUCGGCUUAAGUGCCAUAACGAGCGCAACCCCCGCGUGCAGUUGCUAACAGAUAACGCUGAGGACUCUGCACGGACUGCCGGCGCAAGCCGCGAGGAAGGCGGGGAUGACGUCAAAUCAGCACGGCCCUUACGUCCGGGGCGACACACGUGUUACAAUGGGUGGUACAGCGGGAAGCCAGGCGGCGACGCCGAGCGGAACCCGAAAUCCACUCUCAGUUCGGAUCGGAGUCUGCAACCCGACUCCGUGAAGCUGGAUUCGCUAGUAAUCGCGCAUCAGCCAUGGCGCG
rnacentral:rRNA from 1 species